rnacentral:rRNA from 1 species
UACGUAGGCGGAUUAGUAAGUUAGGGGUGAAAUCCCGGGGCUCAACCCCGGAACUGCCUCUGAUACUGCUAGUCUUGAGUUCGAGAGAGGUGAGUGGAAUUCCGAGUGUAGAGGUGAAAUUCGUAGAUAUUCGGAGGAACACCAGUGGCGAAGGCGGCUCACUGGCUCGAUACUGACGCUGAGGUACGAAAGUGUGGGGAGCAAACAGGAUUAGAUACCCUGGUAGUCC